AUUGAACGCUGGCGGAAUGCUUUACACAUGCAAGUCGAGCGGCAGCGCGGGGGCAACCCUGGCGGCGAGCGGCGAACGGGUGAGUAAUGUAUCGGAACGUGCCCAGUAGUGGGGGGAUAGCCCGGCGAAAGCCGGAUUAAUACCGCAUACGUACUGAGGUAGAAAGCGGGGGACCGAAAGGCCUCGCGCUAUUGGAGCGGCCGAUGUCGGAUUAGCUUGUUGGUGGGGUAAUGGCCUACCAAGGCGACGAUCCGGUAACUGGUCUGAGAGGACGACCAGUCACACUGGGACUGAGACACGGCCCAGACUCCUACGGGAGGCAGCAGUGGGGAAUUUUGGACAAUGGGCGAAAGCCUGAUCCAGCAAUGCCGCGUGUGUGAAGAAGGCCUUCGGUUGUAAG
rnacentral:rRNA from 1 species